ACCAAGAGACUGGGACACCGCUGGGGACGGGGUCUCUAGGAGGCGGGGUUUGGACAGAGGGCGUACCAUGGGCUGGGGACCGAGCCUCUGUGAGGCGAAACACGGAUGUGAUUGGAAGACCUAAGGACUGCUGAGGGCCACUCUCAAACCAUAGCUGCCUGGAAGAGGCUCAGAUCAACUGAGCUACCUGGAAGGGACACAGAGACACAUUCCAACCCUGUGUAUGCAGACCCUGGAGUGAGCUCCCGGUUUCCUGAGGUAUCACUCAUGCCAGAGUGAGCUUUGGGAAGAUUCAGUUGUCUGUGAGACAUUUCUGCUCCUGCAAGUAACUCACCUAGACUCCUGUAAGGAACCCCAAUAAAUUCAUUGGUUUAACAAGCUGGA